UUGAAAUCUUAUCCCCAAAACCUCAUUUCUAAACUCUAAACCCUAAACCCUAAACUCUAAACCCUAAACCCUAAACCCUAAACUCUAAACCCUAAACCCUAAACCCUAAACUCUAAACCCUAAACCCUAAACCCUAAACCGUAAACUCUAAACCUUAAACCCUAAACUCUAAACCAUAAACCCUAAACCCUAAAUCCUAAAUC
rnacentral:lncRNA from 1 species